rnacentral:rRNA from 1 species
UAGUAACGGCGAAGUGAAGCGGGAAGAGCUCAAGCUUAAAAUCUCCGUGCAAGUUUUGCGCGGCGAAUUGUAGUCUAUAGAGGCGUGGUCAGCGUGGGCGCUUGGGGCAAGUUCCUUGGAAGAGGACAGCAUGGAGGGUGAUACUCCCGUUCAUCCCUGAGUGGCUCGUGCGUACGACCCGUUUUCUUUGAGUCGCGUUGUUUGGGAAUGCAGCGCAAAGUAGGUGGUAAAUUCCAUCUAAAGCUAAAUAUUGGUGCGAGACCGAUAGCGAACAAGUACCGUGAGGGAAAGAUGAAAAGAACUUUGAAAAGAGAGUUAAAGAGUACCUGAAACUGCUGAAAGGGAACCGAAUCGUUUCCAGUGUCUAUAAUCCGUGGCAUAUUUCAUUGGCGAGCGUUUGCGUGCGUGUGCUGUGGCAGUGGCUUUUUUGGCUGCGCCUGGCGUGUGUGCUGUGAGUGUUUGCUGGUGCCCUGUGCUGCGGUGGGACGUCAAGGUCAGUUCGUAUGCUGCGGGAAAUGGCUGCCGAGGAGGUAGGGCUUACGCUCCGCGUUUGUCUGUUAUAUCUUGGUGGACGAGUCGUCGUGGUUGGGACUGAGGUGCCUACAACGUGCUUUUGAGUGGGUUUGUGUCUCCGUGUGCGCCGUGUGCGGAUAGCUUGCUAUGCGUGUGUGGUUGUGUGUGGAUUGAUGCGGGCUUUAACUUGUCGCCGUUCGGGACGUUGACGAAAUGGAGCGAUCCGACCCGUCUUGAAACACGGACCAAGGAGUCUAACAUGUGUGCAAGUGUUAGGGUGUGGAAACCCCAGCGCGAAAUGAAAGUGAAGGGCAGCGCAAGUUGUCUGAGGUAGGAAACGUUGCGGGCCUCGGUCUGCGGCGUGGCACUAUCGACCGAUCAUGAACCUUCGUGGAGAAAGAUUUGAGUUUGAGCACAUAUGUUGGUACCCGAAAGAUGGUGAACUAUGCCUGAG